rnacentral:rRNA from 1 species
UACGAAGGGGGCUAGCGUUGCUCGGAAUCACUGGGCGUAAAGCGCACGUAGGCGGGUCUUUAAGUCGGGGGUGAAAUCCUGGAGCUCAACUCCAGAACUGCCUUCGAUACUGAGGAUCUCGAGUCCGGGAGAGGUGAGUGGAACUCCGAGUGUAGAGGUGAAAUUCGUAGAUAUUCGCAAGAACACCAGUGGCGAAGGCGGCUCACUGGCCCGGUACUGACGCUGAGGUGCGAAAGCGUGGGGAGCAAACAGG